GAUGAAGAACGUAGCGAAAUGCGAUAAGUAAUGUGAAUUGCAGAAUUCAGUGAAUCAUCGAAUCUUUGAACGCACAUUGCGCCCGCCAGUAUUCUGGCGGGCAUGCCUGUUCGAGCGUCAUUUCAACCCUCAGGCCCCCAGUGCCUGGUGUUGGGGAUCGGCCCAGCCUUCCUGUAAGGCCGCCGGCCCCGAAAUCUAGUGGCGGUCUCGCUGUAGUCCUCCUCUGCGUAGUAGCACAACCUCGCAGUUGGAACGCGGCGGUGGCCAUGCCGUUAAACACCCCACUUCUGAAAGUUGACCUCGGAUCAGGUAGGAAUAUCCGCUGAACUUAAGCAUAUCAAUAAGCGGAGGA
rnacentral:misc_RNA from 1 species